CAUUAUUACAAUUUAGACACGAUUCCAGGCUUACAAAAUGCUAUUUUAGAAGGCAAUUCCCAUUUUAAGAUGUUGCUGCACAAAUCGCAGAACACCCUUUCACAACUGGUGGGCCCAUCAUCUAUAUCACAGACCCAGCAGCUGUUGAGGCAAAAUAAACUUAGAAGUGGCUUUAAAACAGUCAUAAAAUACAUUUGGUUAAUCCGUUUACAAGCAUCUACCACACUACCAAAGUACAAACCGCAGUGUCGUAGUAUUUUAUAAAACCCACACAGUGGGCAAAUAUUACUGUAAUUUGUUUAAAAUACACAACGCACACCGCCUCCCUGUCUCCUCCAAAGUGAAUAUUAAUUUGAUAUGAUAGUCAACUUCCAAAACCUAAUUUGUAACCUAUGAAUUGUUAACGUUAACUAUGGAUGUAUUUUGAUGUAUGUACAGUUUAUAAAGAUUUGCUAAAUCAUAUUUGACUUACUGGGAAAUAUGCAUGUAUCUACAAAUUCCUAAACACAAAUGUCUAUGUAACUGUAUAAUUGUUUUUGUAUUUAUUGAAUUUUUUUUUAAAUGUUGACAAGGUCUUUCAUUAAGUGUCUAUCGGCCAUGACAAUUCACUUUACUAAAAAAAUUAAUUAUAUUUUUAGAGCUAUUUCAGACUAGGAGAAUAGAUUCCAACUAAUAAAAUGGGGGAACCACAGAUUACAUGAACAUAACAACAUCCAGACGUUCUUGGAACAUUUUUUUUAAACUAUACUUUCUAUACUUUCUUUUGAUCUUCUAUAGGUUCAUUAAUAAAAUAAUGCAGACUGAGACAAUGCUCAAACGGAAAUAUUCACGCAUUGCUGAUUGCACAGAUUCACUCUUAAUCAUGUCUGCUAAAGAUUGUGUAUGCAAAAUGAUUCUACAAUCGUACUUUAAAUAACACAAAAUCCUAUCUCACUGAUAAAUCCCACAGCUUUGACAAGUGUCACACACUUUGCUUGAUUGUCACGCAUUGAAAAGUGUCGCAAUAAUUCAUGAACAUUCCACAGAAGAACAAGAGGGAAUAAAUGUGUGUGUUCCCCCACCUCCCCCUCAUAC